rnacentral:rRNA from 1 species
UAUCCCUACGGGACGCAGCAGUAGGGAAUCUUCCACAAUGGACGAAAGUCUGAUGGAGCAACGCCGCGUGAGUGAAGAGGGGUUUCGGCUCGUAAAGCUCUGUUGGUAGUGAAGAAAGAUAGAGGUAGUAACUGGCCUUUAUUUGACGGUAAUUACUUAGAAAGUCACGGCUAACUACGUGCCAGCAGCCGCGGUAAUACGUAGGUGGCAAGCGUUGUCCGGAUUUACUGGGUGUAAAGGGCGUGUAGCCGGGCUGACAAG